rnacentral:rRNA from 1 species
GACGAACGCUGGCGGCGUGCCUAAUACAUGCAAGUCGAACGCAUUUUCUUUCACCGUAGCUUGCUACACCGAAAGAAAAUGAGUGGCGAACGGGUGAGUAACACGUGGGUAACCUGCCCAUCAGCGGGGGAUAACACUUGGAAACAGGUGCUAAUACCGCAUAAUUCCAUUUACUGCAUGGUAGAUGGAUGAAAGGCGCUUUUGCGUCACUGAUGGAUGGACCCGCGGUGCAUUAGCUAGUUGGUGGGGUAACGGCCUACCAAGGCUGCGAUGCAUAGCCGACCUGAGAGGGUGAUCGGCCACACUGGGACUGAGACACGGCCCAGACUCCUACGGGAGGGAGCAGUAGGGAAUCUUCGGCAAUGGACGCAAGUCUGACCGAGCAACGCCGCGUGAGUGAAGAAGGUUUUCGGAUCGUAAAACUCUGUUGUUAGAAAAGAACAAGGAUGAGAGUGGAAAGUUCAUCCCUUGACGGUAUCUAACCAGAAAGCCACGGCUAACUACGUG